GUAACUAAAAUACAUAAAGAAUUUUUAUGUGGUAUUUGGUCAAAAUAAGUUACUUCGUUUACUAUCGCAACUAGCUCAUAUUAUCGAAGACACGAUGAAAUUUUGAGUGGAAUAAUCAACUCAAUGAACCAAGAGUCCUUAUUUUCGGUAUCAUUCGUCAAAUGUUGACCGAUUAACUUAAUAUGGAUAAGGUAAUAAUUUAUCACAAGUGAUUCAAAUGAACUCAAAACAAAAGCAACCAGGUACACUUGUGACUUCAUCAAUACAGCAAUAAAACUGAUAUUACCUCGUAACAACAAAGUUUUAUUACCUACUCUUUAUUAUUGUUCUAAUUGCAUAUUUCGGGCUCAUAGCAAUGAAAAACAAAACCGAGUAUUUAAAAAAUGUUGCGCGACAAAUUGUAAUACCAUGAAAGAGCGAUACCAAGGAUAAAGAAUGACAUCAAGGACAAAGAGCGAAAUAAGGGACAAAGAGCGAUAUCACGGACAAAGAAGGACAUCAGGGACAAAGAGCGAUACUAAGGAUAAAGAGCGACAUCAGGGACAAAGAGCGAUAUCAAGGUCAAAGAACGACAUCAAGAACAAAGAGCGACAUUAGAGACAAAGAUUAUGAUAAAUAUGAGAGACAAUUUUCUUUCUACUUGCCAUCGAGUUGGAUCUUAUAUUACAAGAUGUGAAAAUCAAAUCACAGAUUCUUUGUUGCUAUUACUUCUAAUUUAUGUACUUCGUAAUUCUUCAUGGUUAGUGAAGAGUUGCUGCAUAGUGACUUUUAUGUUCUUUUUUAUUGUUGUUAAUCUUUUCUAGUUGAUUUUUUUAUAGCGUCAUGAUCUUCAAAACUCGCCAUUUUUAAAUUCAGAAGAUGAAAGCAAGCAUAGAAUGAAAUCUCAUGAAAUAUUAUAAAAGUCCAAAA